rnacentral:lncRNA from 1 species
ACCAACCCAUACAUCAUGAACAAGAUGGACACAAGCUAUCCAAUUGAUCAAAGGGAAAAGAAGGAUAUGAAGAAGAAGGGGACAAGGGAAGUCACACCCAAAUUGGAUCACAAAUUUGAUCAAGUCAUCAUCAAAAUCAAUCAUCCAUUUUGGUGGAUUAGGGUUUUCACCCCAUUAACACCCAAUAUCCAUUGAGUUUGAUGAGACUUGAAGUCCAAACCAUCAUGAUCCAAGGCCAACAGAAGUUCACAAGGUCACACAAAUAUAAAAU